GGCAGGCAGGCCUUGACGAGGGGCUGGGCAGAGCCAGUGCCCGGGGCCACCCCCAUCCUGGAGGAUGCAGACAGGGGUUCCUGGGCUUGCAGAGGGCAUCUUGGAGUGCCCAGCUGUGGCCCCCUGUGUUCACCAAUCCCAAGCGGGGAGCCUGCUGGGCAGCCGGCCGGGCACCAGCACUCUGCGACAGUGGUCCACUUCACCUGUUGAAUAGAGCCCUUGUUGCUUUGAGGAUUAAAAAGGGCAGUUUUUUUCCUCUCUUCUCCCCUCUCCCCUCCCUAAGGAGAUGGGGGAACUCUGUUGUCUUUUCUCCCCCUAGGGGAUUGUCCUUGGACACCCCCACCUCAGGAAGGAGGUGUCUGCUGAGGACCUAAGAAGUGAACUGCAGCUCACCUCAGGGCACAGCUGGGACCUGGCAGGGCACAGCUGGCCUGUGGCCUUGAAUGGCUCCUGAAAGCCCUCGGCUCCCUGAGGGGCAGAACCCCAGCCUCCGGGACUGAGUCCUCUGCGCUUCUCCUUUGCUCCUCCCUUUCCUCUUCCUGAAAACCGUGUCCUCCUUAUUAAAUCGGCAUGAAGUGGCAUCCAGGACAAGGACUGAGCUCUCCGUGACAGUCUGGGUGGGUGCAGUGGAGCUCCCGCACCACCUUG
rnacentral:lncRNA from 1 species